rnacentral:rRNA from 1 species
UGAGCCAAGUUUAGGGUUUUCUCAAAACCCAAGCAGUAUUGAACUGAAGAGUUUGAUCAUGGCUCAGAUUGAACGCUGGCGGCAGGCCUAACACAUGCAAGUCGAGCGGAUGAAGGGAGCUUGCUCCUGGAUUCAGC